rnacentral:lncRNA from 1 species
AUGCCUUUAGGCCUUACACUCAUUAUUUCUGGUUCUGUAACUUUGCAACCUAAUCACGCGGAUGCUUUUUUAAAAAGUCUUUUUUUUAGUCUAUCAGUCAACCUAAUCACGCGGAUGUCUUUUUUAAAAAGUCUUUUUUUUUUUAGUCAUCAUCAUCAACCUUUGUACUUUGCUUUAGCUCUGUGUUUCUUCAUACUUUUUGUCUCUUUGUAUUUAUGGUCCUUGUAUAAUCUUUUUCACUCGUUUCUUGUUUCUUGUAUGUUUGUUAAAUCUGCUGCUGUGUUUCAGCACUAUGGGCCCUUGACACCAUGAACAGGACGAAAUGCAGAUAAGAGUUUCCUGAGGACAUUUGGGCAAAAGUUUGCUGCCAUGUUAGAGACCCAUGAUUUUGUACUGUACCUUGUGCAUAAUAAAUAUUAUAAGUAAAAUUUUACAAUAGACGGCAGUUUUUUGUUUUUUAUCAACUGUCCUUAUGAAGUAUAUGUGGAUCAAAUUAGAUAUAGUUAAUAAAGGCUGAAAUUUAAAAUGCACAACAAUAAUUGCUGACGUUUCGACUGAAAAAUGACCAAAUCAAUAGAGUGUUACAUAUUUGUGUGCACUCAUCAUCCUUAGACAUUUUCCUAGUUUUUACCUUAAUGUUUUUAAAAACCAGCGAACAUUUUCCAUACCAUAAAUAAAACUUAAAGUUGUAAAAAGCAGUUGUACGUUAAAAUAUUUUUUGCUGUGGAUUCUAUGAAAAACCCCUGGACCACAAAACCAGUCUUAAGUCGCACGGGUAUAUUUGUAGCAAUAGCCAAAAAUACACUGUAUGGAUCAAAAUUAUUGAUUUUUCUUUUAUGCCAAAAAUCAUUAGGAUAUAUCAAAACCUAAUUUUUGAUUAGUAAAGUGCAUAAGGACUUAAUUUUGACAACUUUAAAGGCGGUUUUCUCAGUAUUUUUAUUUUUUAUUUUUUUGCACUGAUUCCAGAUUUUCAAAUAGUUGUAUCUCAGCCAAAUAGUUUCCUG